rnacentral:rRNA from 1 species
UACAGAGGUCUCAAGCGUUGUUUCGGAUUCAUUUGGGCGGUAAAGGGUGCGUAGGUGGUGAUGCAAAGUCUGGUGCGAAAUCUCGGAGCUCAACUCCGAAACUGCACCGGAUACUGCGUGACUCGAGGACUGUAGAGGAGAUCGGAAUUCACGGUGUAGCAGUGAAAUGCGUAGAUAUCGUGAGGAAGACCAGUUGCGAAGGCGGAUCUCUGGGCAGUUCCUGACACUGAGGCACGAAGGCCAGGGGAGCAAACGGG